GGAUACAUCAUGCCUCCCACUAGGUGCGGGAUGAUGCCUUGGAUGUGACCGGCCUCCUUGGACUUGUCAAGGAUGUAAGCGAGCGCAUCGAACACCAUAUUAAAAAGGAACAGGGAAAAAGGAUGUUGAUCGCAGUCCGACCCGAAGAGACCAUUUGCAUCACCUGUGUCACCCAACGAUCGUCGAAACCCUUCCAAAGAAGAACAUCCCUAAGAAAGGCCCAGGUGACAGUGUCAUACACCUUGUGGAAGUCCAGCUUGUAUUCAAAAUUUAACACCAGCUUGUGGAGGCCCAGGUGACAGUGUCAUUCCAAAGA
rnacentral:lncRNA from 1 species